AAUAAAUCCCCGGGCACUGUAGUGGCAACAUAACCGGAUUAAUUGUACAAUAAGGAAACCGUAACGGUUUAUAUUUCAAUGAGUGACUUGUGUAUUGUUUGUGUGAAUUUUUUUAUUUUUUUUUGUAUUUCAGGUUUAAUGUAUCUUCGCCCCCCCAUCUCCACGUGGUUCGAUCCAGCCAUAAAAACUAGGGGAAUUCGAACCUCGUGUGGUGCAGAAAGUGCAGGGCCAGCCAGAGGCUGUAGGAGUCACGUGAUAACUCAUGAAAGCGCGGGAAGUGCAUGCUGCCAUGGGUUUAGGUCACGUGAACAUUUACCCAUAGCUCAUUAUGUUUCUUGAUUAAAAAAAUAAAUAAAAAAUAAAUUAGCACAAUCUUAGUUCACCUACAACAGCUGGAAUGCAGUGAGCUGUGAGACUGGCUGUUGGAUAGGAUGAGGGUUACAAGAGUGUCAUGUUAAAUUUACUUUUAUUUUACGCACAUCUAAUGUGUAGAGAAAAACUGCAACCCGACUUUGGCGUUAAUAGUAGGUAAUUGGAUUUGUGUGAAAUUUAAUUUUAAGUGCACCUCAUAUGCAGAUAUUCCAUGUGAUAUUUUUACUAACUUUUGGUGUAACACACUACAUGUGGUUAUAAAACUGCCAUGUAUCUUUUGCAGAUAAAUGUGUAGCCUCACAAACGAACGAACGAAACAACGAACGAUGGGGCGGAUGGUGAGGAGCCAGUCAACAGUGAAGCUUGU